GUCAGACCCAGUCAGGACACAGCAUGGACAUGAGGGUCCCCGCUCAGCUCCUGGGGCUCCUGCUGCUCUGGUUUCCCGUGUCAGGAGUGCGAUGUGACAUCCAGGUGACCCAGCCUCCAUCCUCGCUGGCUGCCUCUGUAGGAGACACAGUCACCAUCAGUUGCAGGGCCAGUCAGGGUGUUAGCAGUUACGUAAACUGGUACCAGCAGAAACCAGGGAAAGCUCCUACUCUCCUGAUCUAUAACGCUAAGAAUUUGCACUCUGGGGUCCCGUCGAGGUUCAGCGGCAGUGGGUCUGGGACAGAUCUCACUCUCACCAUCAGGAACCUGCAGCCUGAAGACUUUGCAACUUAUUACUGUAUGCAGCAUAAUAGUUCCCCUCCUACAGUGAUUCAAGCCAUAACAAAAACCUCCUAA